GGACGUGUACGGAACGGGUGGGAAGGAUGGGACAUGGGUGUCCCUCUGAGGGAGGGCCCCACAGCAGUUGUGUCCCAAGGGGCAUUGCCAGCGCCGGGCACCGCCGAAAGCAGCGGUCCUGUGCCACGCUUCCACGCGUGUCAGCGAGAGCCCGCCGUACCCAGGGCGGAGCAGCCUGCCUGAAGCCGCCUCCACGUACGCGACAUUCCCGUGCUAUCCAGAGUGCCGAUGAAAUGGAUAACGUGCAUGACGGGGCACAGAAUUAAACCGCAUGUGGAAUUAAGCCUGGAGUUUGGCUAGAAAAAGUACCAUCAGCGUUAGUCAAAGGUGAUCCAGCAAAAUAGUCUGACCACAAAACAGGAGCCCAAUAGAUGUUGAUAUUCUGAAACAUUGUAAUAACAGUAUAUGGCAUAAAGAGCCCUAAAUACUCUUUCAGGUUGUAUCUUUCAUGUGAACUGUAUCAAUUUAAAUCAAGUAGGACUUAAAAUUAACCCAGGCAGCAAAGUUAACUGAACCACUUUAAAGUUUAUACCAGCAUAAAUAUACAAUAGCUCACUGACCUCCAAACAAGUUGAAAUAAUGAUUGAAUGAGACCCAAAGCACUGAGGCUCAAGUCCCAGUAUUUCCUGACACCUUCACUUCCAGUGAAUAGUGUUUUGUUUUUUAAACUUGUCCCUGGAAAUCAAUCAUUUGGCUGUAUAGCCAGAGUUUUUCUUCAUUUUGUCAGAUGAAUUUUGACUCUGCUGCAUCAGGAGAACAUUUUUUUGCCUACUUAUAAUAGUAAUUUGACUCUUUUGAGACAAAAUUUGGUGUAAUUGCAUAUAUAUAAUGUCAGACAAAUAUUGAUUGCCUACUUUUAUGCACAUUUUCAAGACGUGAUAGCUCUUUUCUACUAAUGGAAUACUCCGAUGGUGCAAGGAUGUGGACACAGGUACCCUGACCAAACCAAACUAAACCACCACUCCCCUCCAUUCUACCCAUGAAGUUUCACACAGGAAAAACAAGCCUCCACCCCAAAGAAGGGAAACCCCCCUGCCAAGACAUGGAUUUUCAACUGCCCUUUCUACCAUAAAGCAAAUGGCUGAGGGAGAGACAUAGCCAGAAGCUCAGCAACACACAAAAGCUCUUGAGAGUAUAUGAAACUACAGCUCCUAGGAUUUGAAAGAGACAUUCUUGGUAUGCUCCAGCCAUUUCAGGGUUGGUCCACAUGGGUGAGGAUGCCCUUUCUUAGAAAAAGAGGAGGUGAUAGAGCAUAAUAAUUCAUUGGUAUGGCUCUUUUCCCAUGCCUACGGGUCUCUUUCCAGCAAACCAGUACGCUGAAAAAGCCGUAACUGAAGUUUUUGAGGAGCAGCAGCUUUGAUGUAACAGUCUCAGAUGUAUACUUGACCUUUGGAACCUGUGGAGCCCUUGGCCAUUUUCUUCACUAACACUCAUCCAUAGUCUUUUUCCAUAUUUUGAAGAAAAAUGAGGAAGGAAAAAGAUGAACCUCUUUUUCUCUCUAUCAUCAGCACUAAUUCAAGAUUUUAGGGAAAAUCCUGAGGAGAAAUGAGAGAGUGCAAGGAACUUCCACCAGUCCUCUGCACCCUGUGUUGAAGGGCCAGGUUAUGUGUUUAGGAUUUGAGGAGGUCAAAACAAAGGUUUAGCCCACGUAUUGAUAGAAGGCUCAGUUGGUCAUUACUGAAGGCAAACCAAUCUAUCAAGCUUAUGUAAAUUUAGGACACACAGACUACUUUUAAGAUGUCUGCUAUUGGUGACCGUCAGAGAUGAAACACUGCAUUAGCUGUACCUUUGAUCUGACCUGAUAGAGCAACUCUUGAGUUCCAAAGCACUUGUGAAAGAAAAAAACUCAUGGUAUUGGAAGAAAGCUGGGUUCUUUAAACAAACAGAUCAAUUGUAUCCAUUUAUUUUCUAUAACUGGUGUCAGUACUGAACCUGUGUAUUUAAAAGAAUUUUCAUUCCCUAGAUAGUUUGCAGAUUCAAAAAGUUUAUUUCUUCUCAAUCUUCCUUGGGAAAAGUCUGUGGUUUAGAAUAUGCCUGAAACUGCCAUUGAAAAAUUAAAUGGAAACUAAUGUACCUGACAGGUAUACCCAUGGGACCCUGAGAAAGGUCGGAACAUGUCUGCAGAAUCUAUAUUACUGAGCAGGUGGUACACAAGAAUAGUUAAACUGUCUGAACUUGACCUGAUUUUGCAAAACAGACAUAAGGGAAAAUAUUUUCAUUUGUAAAUUGCUUUCUAUUUUGUGACAUGAAACAUGAUGCUUCCUGGGGGGGUAUGGAUAAGGUUUGGACAGAAAACCUCCAGAUGAAAAAUGCAUGUACAAAUGUCUGCUCUCUUACAAAUGAUGAUAUAUUUCUCUAGUUACUCCUUCUAUAUCAUAUAUGAAAUUAGAGAAAGGAUGGUUAAGAAGUGGGAAAUCUUGGUGAAAUUUCUGUGUGCAUGUAGGCCUCAGUCCUAAAACAUUGAAGGAUCUCAGUGGAUUCACCUCAGGAAGCCCAACAGGUUUUGUCUGAGGAACAGUGCUGGGAACCUACCAUGGUCCUCAGUGGAACUGAUGCUAUUCUGCCCUACGGGAAAGUUAGUGGUGUAGAAUAGGGCUAUACCACGAGCGAGCAGGCCGCCCUGCUCUGAGGUGACCGCAGGGAGUGUACAGGAAAGCAUGCACUAAAAGGGAAUGCUGUAGUGCAAGGCUCAGGGCAUGAGCUCUGUGGAUUCCCUACUAAGCCCCUCCAGGGUGCAAUGCCCUCUCAGGAUAAUUUGGGGCUGCGACCUAAGUAGCCUGGAUAGCCUCAGGAAGUGUGAUGCAGCAGCUGCUCAGCCUCUCCUGCAGCGGUUAUAGGACUGGGACCGGGACUGCAAUCACAUCAGAGAUUAUCCACAUUGAAAGCAAAAAUAUUUUCUUAAAUUAUGUGUACCGAAAAUGUCUCAUAGGAAGGAAAAGGAACAAACCAAUAAAGGGUUAAAGAGCUUCCAAAACAAACCAGACUGGCUAAUUAAAUGAGCAAUUACAAUUUAACAGGUCUUUGGCUUUUGGGAGGGUACUCUGAAAGGUUUCAAACCGCAGAGGAUGGUGUCUCUCUGUUAUAAAAUUACUAUAGACAAGAGGUGGGUGGUCAUGCAUACUGCAGUCCCCUCAAAUGCAUGAGAGCAAGCUAGAUACAAGCCUGAUUCAAGCUGCCGCCCAUUUGACUAAACUGAAAAGGAGAAGAGCUAUAUCCUUUCUUCUGCUAUAUCCCUAGCAGAUUUGGGCUAUGGAUUAUGCAGCCAUCUGAAGCCAAGCUCUCUCUUAGACAUCAAAUCACAUACUAUUUUCAUGAAAUGAAGUAAAUAUUUUUGCUGCAAGUGAAAUGUGCCUCCCUCCAUAUCCCUGUCAUGGAACUGAAAGAUGUUCAAAAGAAGGCAGCUUUCACCUUUUCUGAGAGCUGCUGUGUACUGGUGUCAGCACUGAACCUGUGUAUUUGAAAGAAUUUUCAUUUCCUAUAUGGUUUGCUGAUUCAAAAAGUUUAUUUCUUCUCAAUCUUCCUUGGGAAAAGUCUGUGGUUUAGAAUAUGCCUGAAACUGUCUGAUACAGCACAUGCAUCCUCCAGAAUUGGUUUAUAAACUUCAUCUCAGUUUAAAUGCUCUUAGGAAUCAUUGCUUGAAGGUAUUUGCAUUCUAAUAGAGAAUGGGGAAGUUACAUGAGCCUUAGUUCAUUAUUUUCUGUAGUAAAUACUCAUAUUUUUAUCUCUAAUUUUAAAUGCUGAGACAGUUUGUGUUCUCAUUGGUGCUCAAACUCUAGUUCUGCAUUGCAGCAUCAGCUGUGUCCAAGUACCCAAGACUGACUUUGCAACCUUUGAGUAUAUACAGACAUGUCAGCAUAGUCAGUCUUGCAAGCUUUAAUAUUCUAAAAUUCUAAACUUCUAAAUUCUAAUACUUUAAUAUUCCAAAUCCUUGUACUCUAAGAAUUUAAUGCUUUUAGCUUAGGUAGAUGCAUGGUUCAAAAUUCAGGCCUUAUCAUGUUUCUGCAUAUGGGGUCAGCAUAAGAUUUACUUGUUCAUCACAUGUAAACUCCAGCCUCACUGUACAGAUACUUGAUCAUCAGAGGAGUCUGAAUGGUAACAAAGGGAGAAGCAAACUGCACCAGAGAAUGUGUAUUUUAGCUUGUACAGUUCUCUUUUUACCUUUGCUUUGGGUUAAUUUAAUUUUCCUUAGCUGCUUCCAAGUCCAUAACUUACCCUGCAACUCAGCGUUGCCACAUUCCAGAUGAUUUCUGACUGGAGUUGCCCAGCUGAACUUUUACUGCUUUGUUUCCAGGGUCUCAUAUUUCUCAGCUCUUUCUGAGCUGCUGGAACUGCUGCCCCUAUUGCAGAGAAGAGCUCUGCUGAAGGGGAGUACACAAGCUUGCUGUCUCUGUCAUGCACAAAGACAAGUGAGUUCUGUCAUACAACUCAUAGAACCUUAGGAUUUUCUUAAAAAGCAAUAGGAAAGCAGUGGGCUUGCUUCUAUUUUAAAUCAACAGGAAAACUGUGGAAAUUGAACCAUUCUGCCUGAUUAGCGAGAGUUAAUUUGCUCAUAGGUUAACUUGGCUCAUGAGAAAUUCUCAUGAUUCACAAAUUUGACUUAAAAAAUCAAAUAACCGAAAGAACAGUGUAGAGUUUUCUUUCAUCCCCAUUUGAGGAAAUAUGGAAGGAGAGUUUGACAGAAAUAGAAGACAACUUACAAUUAGAAAAACCCUCCAAUUUAUUUAGCUAAAAGAAAUACAAUUAUUUUGUCCUAGGAGUGGUUUUUGAUUAGUGUUUGCUGAUCAUGUCUAGAACAAUAUUUCUCAUUUACUAUAGGAGAUAUGCUGAAUUAUAGAAAGACUUUAUGUAAUACAUAGGUAACAAAUCCAUCACAUACCACGUAUUUGAUCUGCUGGUGCAUUCAUGGGAAUUAGGGCUACAAAAGGUGAGUUUGAGUUUUCUUUCCCUUGUGAGCCUCUGUCUCUGCAGCCUUGGUGCAUUGGAUUGCCUUCUCCCAACAACAGCAGGGAAAUGAAGAGAAAAGAGAAUCAGAGGGGUUUGAGGGCAAUGCUUCAGGCUUUUAGAAGGAAACCUUGCUCAGUAACUGGCAUGGAAAAGCUGACAUCAUAAUCUGAGCAGCAAGAUUUUCUCAUUCUAACCCAAAAUACAGGGAUAACCCUGGGAAGUAUUAAGAUUUUAGGGUUUCAUUUGGUAAAGAAGAAAAACUGCUGUAAAUUCAUUUCUACAGAGUUACACUUCAGUCCUGAAAAUUUAAGUUUGCUCUCUCUCUUCCAACUAAGGUUUUGUCAAGAAUGUAUCUCAAGGAUAGGGGAAAAAGUAUAAUUUGACCUCAAACUUUUCAGGUUCUGAUGAGUUCUGUAUCAAAAACUUCAAAGCAAACUUCUUAUCAUUGAAAGAUUGCCAAAAUUAGAGCACCUUUCAAGGGAUAUCCCAUAUUCAGUGGCAGCAAUUCUGUCUUGUAAUUGCUGGCUUUUGUUCCUGGAAUGACUGAUGGGGACAUCUUAAAGAUGGUGAGGUGGGAAACCCUUUCUUCCAGUACUGGCAGUGAAGAUGCCAGACAGGCAUUAGUCUGCCUAUGAAAGCUAUCAGGAUACUAAAAGGAGGUAGCAAGUAUCUGUGGUAAAACCAGGAAUAUGUGAGAAGAAACAACCAUCUCCAACUGCAUCCUAGUCUAAUUUCCUUCUCUAGACUAAUGUCUGAAAAAUAUUUUUACUUAAUAAUCCUUACCCCUAAUAUCUUUGUUGAUAGACUUAGCCUGUUUUCCUAUACCUACAAUCUUCUAACAAUAUAAUUUUCUCAGUUCUGUUUUCUUUAAGUAAAAAAUUUCUGUCUUAUUUGUUGUACACAAGACUGUAUUUGAC